CAGUAGCCGCGGUAAUACAGAGGGUGCGAGCGUUAAUCGGAUUUACUGGGCGUAAAGCGUGCGUAGGCGGCUUCUUAAGUCGGAUGUGAAAUCCCUGAGCUUAACUUAGGAAUUGCAUUCGAUACUGGGAAGCUAGAGUAUGGGAGAGGAUGGUAGAAUUCCAGGUGUAGCGGUGAAAUGUGUAGAGAUCUGGAGGAAUACCGAUGGCGAAGGCAGCCAUCUGGCCUAAUACUGACGCUGAGGUACGAAAGCAUGGGGAGCAAACAGGAUUAGAUACCCCGGUAGUCCCUGUCUCUUAUAC
rnacentral:rRNA from 1 species